rnacentral:rRNA from 1 species
UACGUAGGGUGCGAGCGUUGGCCGGAAUUAUUGGGCGUAAAGGGCUCGUAGGCGGUUUGUCGCGUCGGGAGUGAAAACACUGGGCUUAACCGAGUGCUUGCUUUCGAUACGGGCCGACUUGAGGCAUUGAGGGGAGAACGGAAUUCCUGGUGUAGUGGUGAAAUGCGCAGAUAUCAGGAGGAACACCGGUGGCGAAGGCGGUUCUCUGGCAAUGUUCUGACGCUGAGGAGCGAAAGUGUGGGGAGCGAACAGG